rnacentral:rRNA from 1 species
UGAGGAAUAUUGGUCAAUGGACGCAAGUCUGAACCAGCCAAGUAGCGUGCAGGAUGACGGCCCUAUGGGUUGUAAACUGCUUUUAUAUGGGGAUAAAGUGGGGAACGUGUUCCCUUUUGCAGGUACCAUAUGAAUAAGGACCGGCUAAUUCCGUGCCAGCAGCCGCGGUAAUACGGAAGGUUCGGGCGUUAUCCGGAUUUAUUGGGUUUAAAGGGAGCGUAGGCCGUUUGGUAAGCGUGUUGUGAAAUGUAGGAGCUCAACUUCUAGAUUGCAGCGCGAACUGUCAGACUUGAGUGCGCACAACGUAGGCGGAAUUCAUGGUGUAGCGGUGGAAUGCGCAGAUAUCGGGAAGAACACCGAUGGCGAAGGCAGCCUGCUGGGCCGGCACUGACGCUGAGGCGCGAAAGCUAGGGGAGCGAACAGG